rnacentral:rRNA from 1 species
CCUACGGGCGGCUGCAGUGAGGAAUAUUGGUCAAUGGACGAGAGUCUGAACCAGCCAAGUAGCGUGAAGGAUGACUGCCCUAUGGGUUGUAAACUUCUUUUAUAUGGGAAUAAAACGUUCCACGUGUGGGAUUUUGUAUGUACCAUAUGAAUAAGGAUCGGCUAACUCCGUGCCAGCAGCCGCGGUAAUACGGAGGAUCCGAGCGUUAUCCGGAUUUAUUGGGUUUAAAGGGAGCGUAGGUGGAUUGUUAAGUCAGUUGUGAAAGUUUGCAGCUCAACCGUAAAAUUGCAGUUGAAACUGGCAGUCUUGAGUACAGUAGAGGUGGGCGGAAUUCGUGGUGUAGCGGUGAAAUGCUUAGAUAUCACGAAGAACUCCGAUUGCGAAGGCAGUUCACUGGACUGCAGCUGACACUGAGGCUCGAAAGUGUGGGUAUCAAACAGGAUUAGAUACCCGAGUAGUC